rnacentral:rRNA from 1 species
GACGAACGCUGGCGGCGUGCUUAACACAUGCAAGUCGAACGGAAAGGCCCUGCUUUUGUGGGGUGCUCGAGUGGCGAACGGGUGAGUAACACGUGAGUAACCUGCCCUUGACUUUGGGAUAACUUCAGGAAACUGGGGCUAAUACCGGAUAGGAGCUCCUGCUGCAUGGUGGGGGUUGGAAAGUUUCGGCGGUUGGGGAUGGACUCGCGGCUUAUCAGCUUGUUGGUGGGGUAGUGGCUUACCAAGGCUUUGACGGGUAGCCGGCCUGAGAGGGUGACCGGCCACAUUGGGACUGAGAUACGGCCCAGACUCCUACGGGAGGCAGCAGUGGGGAAUAUUGCACAAUGGGCGGAAGCCUGAUGCAGCAACGCCGCGUGCGGGAUGACGGCCUUCGGGUUGUAAACCGCUUUCGCCUGUGACGAAGCGUGAGUGACGGUAAUGGGUAAAGAAGCACCGGCUAACUACGUGCCAGCAGCCGCGGUGAUACGUAGGGUGCGAGCGUUGUCCGGAUUUAUUGGGCGUAAAGGGCUCGUAGGUGGUUGAUCGCGUCGGAAGUGUAAUCUUGGGGCUUAACCCCUGAGCGUGCUUUCGAUACGGGUUGACUUGAGGAAGGUAGGGGAGAAUGGAAUUCCUGGUGGAGCGGUGGAAUGCGCAGAUAUCAGGAGGAACACCAGUGGCGAAGGCGGUUCUCUGGGCCUUUCCUGACGCUGAGGAGCGAAAGCGUGGGGAGCGAACAGGCUUAGAUACCCUGGUAGUCCACGCUGUAAACGGUGGGUACUAGGUGUGGGGUCCAUUCCACGGGUUCCGUGCCGUAGCUAACGCUUUAAGUACCCCGCCUGGGGAGUACGGCCGCAAGGCUAAAACUCAAAGGAAUUGACGGGGCCCCGCACAAGCGGCGGAGCAUGCGGAUUAAUUCGAUGCAACGCGUAGAACCUUACCUGGGUUUGACAUGGAUCGGGAGUGCUCAGAGACGGGUGUGCCUCUUUUGGGGUCGGUUCACAGGUGGUGCAUGCCUGUCGUCAGCUCGUGUCGUGAGAUGUUGGGUUAAGUCCCGCAACGAGCGCAACCCUUGUUCACUGUUGCCAGCACGUUAUGGUGGGGACUCAGUGGAGACCGCCGGGGUCAACUCGGAGGAAGGUGGGGAUGACGUCAAGUCAUCAUGCCCCUUAUGUCCAGGGCUUCACGCAUGCUACAAUGGCUGGUACAGAGAGUGGCGAGCCUGUGAGGGCGAGCGAAUCUCGGAAAGCCGGUCUCAGUUCGGAUUGGGGUCUGCAACUCGACCUCAUGAAGUCGGAGUCGCUAGUAAUCGCAGAUCAGCAACGCUGCGGUGAAUACGUUCCCGGG